rnacentral:rRNA from 1 species
AUACGUAGGUGGCAAGCGUUGUCCGGAAUUAUUGGGCGUAAAGCGCGCGCAGGUGGUUCCUUAAGUCUGAUGUGAAAGCCCCCGGCUCAACCGGGGAGGGUCAUUGGAAACUGGGGAACUUGAGUGCAGAAGAGGAUAGUGGAAUUCCAAGUGUAGCGGUGAAAUGCGUAGAGAUUUGGAGGAACACCAGUGGCGAAGGCGACUGUCUGGUCUGUAACUGACACUGAGGCGCGAAAGCGUGGGGAGCAAACAGGAUUAGAUACCCUGGUAGUCCACGCCGUAAACGAUGAGUGCUAAGUGUUGGGGGGUUUCCGCCCCUCAGUGCUGCAACUAACGCAUUAAGCACUCCGCCUGGGGAGUACGGUCGCAAGACUGAAACUCAAAUGAAUUGACGGGG